ensembl:snRNA U6 U6 spliceosomal RNA
AUGCUCGCUUUGGCAGCACAUAUUCUAAAAUUGGAACGAUACAGAGAAGAUUAACAUGGCCCCUAUACAAAGAUAACAUGCAAAUUCCUGAAGCAUUGUAUAUUUAA